rnacentral:tRNA from 1 species
GCCCAUGUAGCUCAGUCGGUAGAGCACUUCCUUGGUAAGGAAGAGGUCAACGGUUCGAUUCCGUUCAUGGGCUCCA